UCAGAGGUCACGGGCCGGCUUCGGAGAGGAGAGAACUCUUGUCAUCUUGGUUGAGGUGUCAACGCUUUUAGGCUUCCAAGGGCCAACAUUUGUGACACCCUGGAUCUGAAUAUGGAGAAGAGCAACUGUUGCAGACGACAAAGAUGGUCAAGUGUCGACAGAUGACGGAACGGGGUAACUACUGAGUCUACAGACCCAGAGGCAGGUGGGGAGACCAUUUGAGUGCAGACCUGAGCACCAUGGGCCUCCAUGUAGCCACAGCCUGGCAGAGGGCACAGGACAGAACUGGCUGGAAGACAACUUGGCGAGGUGCUACGCUCUCAGGAGUGAUUG